GAAUCAUAGACUGGUUUGGUUUGGAAGGGACCUUGAAGAUCAUCCCGUUCAAACCCCCUGCCAUGGACAGGGACACCUCCCACUAGACCAGAUCAGAAGGAUUGCCUUAAGGAUUCUGAGGAAAUUCACGGCAACAAGAGCAGAUGGAGAUGGGAGAAUUGAUCCUAACACAACCUGUCCUGAAAUGCAAAGCUGAGUUUCAAGUGAGCUCUCUGCACAGAGCACCGCUCUUGGGAGCCCAUUCCCUAAGGAGAGGAGUCGAUAGGAGACGUGGGGCAGCAACAGCAGCAUCCUCGUGGGCUUUGCCAUGUACCCAGAAGGAGCAGGGAGAACCCUGGAGCCCGAGAAACCAGAGCCUGAGAAUCCACACCCUCUGAGCGUGGCCAUUUCCUCAGUUUCCCCAGCUGCAGACAGCUCUUGGAGUGCAUGCAGGGGCUGGAGAGCCUGGCACUGCUGUGUGCAAGCAGGGAAUUUGCCAAAGAAAAGGGGAAGUGGAGGGGAAGGAGGGAAAGGGAAAGCACG